rnacentral:rRNA from 1 species
AUGAAGUCGGAAUUGCUAGUAAUCGCGGAUCAGCAUGCCGCGGUGAAUACGUUCCCGGGCCUUGUACACACCGCCCGUCACACCAUGGAGCCGGUAAUACCCGAAGUCAGUAGUCCAACCUCGUGAGGACGCUGCCGAAGGUAGGAUUGGCGACUGGGGUGAAGUCGUAACAAGGUACC